AACAAUCAUUUCUUUCCUCACAGCCGAAAUCCAACGGCCCAAACUCCUCUGCCAACCCGCUCAAAUCCCAAAAUAUUACCAACAAAACCACCACCCUCCCCCCCGCUUCCGUUCCACCGCCCUUCCCUUCCUCCCCGAAAUCGCACGACCUCGAGGUAUUUCUGCUUUCUUAUAGCCCACCUUCCGUGCCCUCUUCUCGUGCGGUUCCUCUUCCUCAGCUUCGUUUCGUUCCGGCGGUCCGGUUCUUCUUUCCAGCAUAAUCAUUUAUCAUGGGCGCCAUGGAAAAUGUCAACAACAGAGAAGAUCGUAUUCCAGCUGAAGCUAGGGAGAUUCUACAAUCAAUGGCUUCCCAGUGGGACGAUGUGGUAGAUUCAAAGGCACUGCAGGUGAUCCCUCUCAAGGGUGCAAUGACUAAUGAGGUUUUCCAAAUAAAGUGGCCAUCAAGGACAGGGGAAUUGUCACAUAAAGUUCUGGUUAGGAUUUAUGGUGAGGGUGUCGAGGUGUUCUUUGACAGGGAUAAUGAGAUCCGGACGUUUGAACACAUGUCAAAGAAUGGUCAGGGACCUCGACUGCUUGGGCGUUUUCCAAAUGGCCGAAUUGAAGAGUUCAUCCAUGCACGGACACUCUCAGCAUGUGAUCUACGUGAUCCGGAUAUAUCUGCUCUUAUAGCUUCUAAACUGAAGGAGUUCCACGAACUCGAUAUGCCUGGUCCAAAGGUUGUCACCCUCUGGGAUAGAUUGCGAAAUUGGCUCAGUACGGCCAAGAGAUUGUCUACGCCAGAAGAAGUUAACUCCUUUCAGUUAGAUUCUAUUGGAAAGGAAAUCCCGUUACUGGAGAAAGAGCUUUCAGGGCCUCAUCAACGCAUUGGUUUUUGCCACAAUGAUUUACAGUAUGGUAAUAUAAUGCUUGAGGAAGAGAGUAAAUUGAUAACCCUAAUCGACUAUGAAUAUGCAAGUUAUAAUGCUGUAGCAUUUGACAUAGCGAAUCAUUUCUGUGAGAUGGCAGCUGACUAUCACACUGAUACACCUCAUAUUUUGGACUACAGAAAAUAUCCUGGUUCGGAGGAGCGUCAGCGGUUUGUUCGUUUGUAUCUGAGUUCUUCAGGCAAUCAACCUACUGAGAGCGAAGUGGAGCGGCUGGUUCAAGACGUUGAGAACUAUACUCUUGCAAGCCAUCUCUUUUGGGGCUUAUGGGGAAUCAUUUCGGAACAUGUGAAUGAAAUUGACUUUGACUACAUGGAAUAUGCAAGGCAGAGGUUUCAACAGUACUGGAUAAGCAGGCCUAAGCUGUUGGGUUCUGUUGGAUCUCCUCCAGAUGUUGUAACUGAUGUUAAAUAUGGUACGUAUUGAGCUGCUGUUUAACACCACAUGCGAGGCUGUGGAGACGCUCUUCUUCUUUGCAUCUUGUGCAAAAGUUAAAUAUGGUAUGCAUUGAGCUGCUGUUUAACAGCACAUGUGAGGCUGUGGAGACGCUCUUCUUCUUUGCAUCUUUUGUUCUGGUUAGUUGCUUUUCUUUUAGGUGAAGGUGAGUUUUGGUUUGCACGCGAACAAAAGGGUACCGGAAAAACAUUAGCUAAGCGGCCAAGUAUCUUGAAGAAGCUUCAGAAAUAUUUCAGCUUCACAAAGACGAAAACUUAGGUUUGGAGAUUUCCUCAACUAAGGGUGCAUCAGUUUCAGAGGGGGAAGAUUCGCGAGUGGAUUGCAUAAUGGGAUGAAGUGGUGUACCGUGUAACGUAAGACUGGUGUGGCGAGUGCAGAAAGUGGGAUUUGAGGUUUGUAAACGAUUGAUCAUGUCUUCGUCUGAUCGAUCUUUCAUAACGUCCUCUCUUAUAUUGGCAUCCACAGCGUGAUUGCAAUUUCUGGAGCCUCUGCAGUUCGAGUGGCCCUUUGGUAACAAGCGCGUAAAGGUUUUAAUAUUGUCGGGAGUGCUGUCUUCUUUGAUGCAUUAUGUACUGUUGGUUUAUGUUAUAUAGUAUACGACGAUACUUUCUUUUUUC